UACGUAGGGCGCGAGCGUUGUCCGGAAUUAUUGGGCGUAAAGAGCUCGUAGGCGGCUUGUCGCGUCGUCCGUGAAAACCUGUGGCUCAACUGCAGGCUUGCGGUCGAUACGGGCAGGCUGGAGUUCGGUAGGGGAGACUGGAAUUCCUGGUGUAGCGGUGAAAUGCGCAGAUAUCAGGAGGAACACCGGUGGCGAAGGCGGGUCUCUGGGCCGAUACUGACGCUGAGGAGCGAAAGCGUGGGGAGCGAACAGG
rnacentral:rRNA from 1 species